AUACGUAGGUGGCGAGCGUUAUCCGGAAUUACUGGGUGUAAAGGGUGCGUAGGCGGGAUGUAAAGUCGGAUGUGAAAUACCGUGGCUUAACCACGGGGGUGCAUUUGAAACUUAUGUUCUUGAGUAAAGUAGAGGCAAGUGGAAUUCCUAGUGUAGCGGUGGAAUGCGUAGAUAUUAGGAGGAACAUCGGUGGCGAAGGCGACUUGCUGGGCUUUUACUGACGCUGAGGCACGAAAGUGUGGGGAGCAAACAGGAUUAGAUACCCUGGUAGUCCACACUGUAAACGAUGAUUACUAGGUGUGGGGCGGCUGAACCGUUCUGUGCCGGAGUUAACACAAUAAGUAAUCCACCUGGGGAGUACGGCCGCAAGGCUGAAACUCAAAUGAAUUGACGGGG
rnacentral:rRNA from 1 species